GCGUUGGUGGUAUAGUGGUGAGCAUAGCUGCCUUCCAAGCAGUUGACCUGGUUUCGAUUCCCCGCCAACACA
rnacentral:tRNA from 1 species